CAUGCAGUUGUAACUUCUUCAGUGUGUGAUUAUCUUUUGACUUUUCUAUUUAUUUAUUUUUUUUAAGAUCUUUAUGGUUAUGGCAAAAUCUUUCAUCAUCAGCAGAUGGUAUAAUGGACUACCAGUUGGAUGAUACACAGUCGUCUGAAACAUGAUAUAUACUUCUCCUCAUCCGUGUCCAUGCAUCUCCAGGAGCAAGACAGACAAGUCAGAUGAAGGCCUGUGAAGGACCAUGUGAAACCUGUGAGAUAAAGGACAGUACACCUCAGAGCUGACAGAAUGAAAAUGUUACUUUAAGAUUUGAAAACAAAAUAGUAGAUGAAAUAAGCGGGGUUAUUCCAACACCAGGUGUCGUUUGCUUUGAUUAAAAUUUGGAAUGAGUACACUGCUACCUUACUAGAAAGCAAUGCUUGCAUCUUUUAAAGGGGAAAAAGGUUUCAUCUUCUGUAAUUAUGAUGAAGAUCAAGAGCUUUCUAACCAGUAAAAUCUUGGCAGAAUACCAUAAGUUGUGAUAAGGGCUGCUUUUGAAGAUUUCAAUAAAAUAUGCCUAUGUAGAGCA
rnacentral:lncRNA from 1 species